CAAUUCAUUCUUUUUUUAGAGGAAUUAUCAUACAAAAGAUAUGCGGUGUAUUUAAGUAAAGAUAGAGUGUGAAAAGAAAUUCAGAAGCCCAACAUAACACAGCCGAUGGAGUUAUUUUCAUCUUUGACUUUUCAUUUGUUUAUAGUUGAAAUUCAUUUGAAUGGUAGCUACUAGCAAAUUAUUUUAUGAAAACAACAAUGGAUGAAGUAGUGGAAAUAGAUACCUUAGAGAAGAAUUUAUUGGAAGAAAAUGAAGGAAACGAAGAAGAAGUGUUAUAUGCAGCAUCUUUUCAAGAAAUGGAGAAGAAUUUCAUUAAGUACCAAACAGUACAAUGGAUACUUUACUCACUGUUAUUGAUAUUAGCUUGGGGAAUUGGGUUACUAAUGUUGCUUUAUGUACCAGUUAGAAGGUUUAUACUUAGAAAAGAUAUUCGUUCUAGAAGUCUUUACCUUACUUCAAAUGCUAUUGUUUAUAAGGUCACAAGGCCUGUACCAUUUCCUUGUUUGGGAGUGCUGCAUAAAGAGAAGCAUGUUUUAUUGCAUUCUGUGGCUGAUGUCGUGGUUGAACAAGGGUACUUGCAAUCCCUUUUCGGUGUAUAUUCUCUUAGAAUUGAAAAUGUUGGAGUUAGAAGGCCACCCAGUGACAAUGUUAAAAUCUUGGGAAUUGCAAAUCCUAAUGCUUUUUCAAGAAGGCUGUUAUGAUGCAACUAUCAAACAUGAGAAAUGAGAUUGUUUCAAGACAGGUGUCUACAUUAGAAGACGGUUCGCAUUUGAUGGUAAAUCAUUCGCCAAUCCGAGAAGUAUUCAAUUUUCGCUCUAUAUUUUGGUCUCUUUUGCUUCUAAGUGGCCGAUAAUUAAAGUCGUUUACAUAUCCCCAGAAACCUCAAAUGUCUCCAUCCAAGUCAUUGAGAUACGAUUCUACUCAUUCUGAGGAUCUGCUACUCUUGCAGAAGCUGGAGGAAGUUGGAAGCUCUGUCAAGAGAAUACAGACUUUAUUUGAAGCGCAACAAUCUCCAACAACGGAAACUAUAGAUUGAGAGAGUGGUGGAAUAUGGUCAUUACAGCCAUUAUAUCUAUGUUAGAUGAACUCUGAGGAUCCAACAGAUAUUAGUGCUACUAUUACUUUAUUGGCAGCAGCCCUGGAAUGCAAGUUGAUAACCUCAUGCAAUAAACCUAGCUAUUCAUUGUUAGUUUGUAACAUAGCGUUCAAGUACACCUUACAUUUUUUAUUGUUUUAAGAAAAAAAUUGAUUUUAUGGAUGCAGUAUUGAGGCAUUUGUUGGGGGAUACAAGUGUAAUCAUCAUCCCUAAAAAAAUAUAGGUGUAAAUCAUUGUUGUUUUCUGGAGGUCCUUAGCCAUCAUAUAAUCAUGUAGUACGAUUUGGUGACUUGUCUUGAGACCAAUUUGGUAUUGUCUAGUCGGAUUUUAUCGAUUUA